AUUGAACGCUGGCGGCAGGCCUAACACAUGCAAGUCGAGCGGAGCGGCUGACGGGUGAGUAAUGCAUAGGUAUCUGCCUGGCAGUGGGGGAUAACGCCCGGAAACGGGCGCUAAUACCGCAUACUAUCAGAUGAGUCUAGGUCGGAUUAGCUAGUUGGUGGGGUAAAGGCCUACCAAGGCGACGUCGCGUAACUGGUCGGAGAGGAAGAUCAGUCACACUGGAACUGAGACACUGUCCAGACUCCUACGGGAGGCAGCAGUGGGGAAUAUUCGGCAAUGGGCGAAAGCCUGAUCCAGCCAUGCCGCGUGUGUGAAGAAGGUCUUCGGAUUGUAAAGCACUUUAAGUUGGGAGGCGUUACCAACAGAAUAAGCACCGGCUAACUUCGUGCCAGCAGCCGCGGUAAUAC
rnacentral:rRNA from 1 species